rnacentral:rRNA from 1 species
UGAACGCUGGCGGCAGGCCUAACACAUGCAAGUCGAGCGGUAACAGAUCUAGCUUGCUAGAUGCUGACGAGCGGCGGACGGGUGAGUAAUGCAUAGGAAUCUGCCCGGUAGUGGGGGAUAACCUGGGGAAACCCAGGCUAAUACCGCAUACGUCCUACGGGAGAAAGGGGGCUUUGGCUCCCGCUAUUGGAUGAGCCUAUGUCGGAUUAGCUAGUUGGUGAGGUAAAGGCUCACCAAGGCAACGAUCCGUAGCUGGUCUGAGAGGAUGAUCAGCCACAUCGGGACUGAGACACGGCCCGAACUCCUACGGGAGGCAGCAGUGGGGAAUAUUGGACAAUGGGGGCAACCCUGAUCCAGCCAUGCCGCGUGUGUGAAGAAGGCCUUCGGGUUGUAAAGCACUUUCAGCGAGGAAGAACGCCUGGUGGUUAAUACCCGCCAGGAAAGACAUCACUCGCAGAAGAAGCACCGGCUAACUCCGUGCCAGCAGCCGCGGUAAUACGGAGGGUGCAAGCGUUAAUCGGAAUUACUGGGCGUAAAGCGCGCGUAGGUGGCUUGAUAAGCCGGUUGUGAAAGCCCCGGGCUCAACCUGGGAACGGCAUCCGGAACUGUCAGGCUAGAGUGCAGGAGAGGAAGGUAGAAUUCCCGGUGUAGCGGUGAAAUGCGUAGAGAUCGGGAGGAAUACCAGUGGCGAAGGCGGCCUUCUGGACUGACACUGACACUGAGGUGCGAAAGCGUGGGUAGCAAACAGGAUUAGAUACCCUGGUAGUCCACGCCGUAAACGAUGUCGACCAGCCGUUGGGUGCCUAGAGCACUUUGUGGCGAAGUUAACGCGAUAAGUCGACCGCCUGGGGAGUACGGCCGCAAGGUUAAAACUCAAAUGAAUUGACGGGGGCCCGCACAAGCGGUGGAGCAUGUGGUUUAAUUCGAUGCAACGCGAAGAACCUUACCUACCCUUGACAUCUACAGAAGCCGGAAGAGAUUCUGGUGUGCCUUCGGGAACUGUAAGACAGGUGCUGCAUGGCUGUCGUCAGCUCGUGUUGUGAAAUGUUGGGUUAAGUCCCGUAACGAGCGCAACCCUUGUCCUUAUUUGCCAGCGAGUAAUGUCGGGAACUCUAAGGAGACUGCCGGUGACAAACCGGAGGAAGGUGGGGACGACGUCAAGUCAUCAUGGCCCUUACGGGUAGGGCUACACACGUG